UGGAACAUCUGCAGCGAGCAGUUGCAAGGCUGGAAGUUGAGAAGACUGAGCUGAAGCAACUCAAUGCUGAGCUCAGGAGGACUCUUGAGCAGGUGGAACGUGAACGGAGGAGACUGAAGAGAUACUGUAGUGGUCGGUCGCUGCCAGAUGCGUGCGGAUUUUCUCUCUCCGACCAGCACAAGGUGCCUGCUUCUCGACAGGAGGAGUCUCACACGCGCUGCAGUCGUCGAUUAGCUGAGUUGCAGAACCAGGUGUCCCUUCUGCAGACGCAGCUGGCGCAAGAACGCAAAUGCAAGCAGGACUACAUUGAGUGCUGUGCAAAGACCAGCCAGGAGCUGUCAGACCUUCACCGAGAGCUGUCUUGCUCCUUAGCAGCUGUGGUCAGGGAGCCCGAAGCUGCUGUUCUGGAGGCAGAGACUCGGAAGCUGGCUCAGCCUCUCUGAGCCUUCUUUUCCUGUAGAGGAGCAGCUGCAGCAUCACGGGGUUCCUGUCUCGUGCCCUUCCCAGGAAUGCAUUACGUUUUGCUGUGGGAAACAGGCUGCGUUUGUUCUCUUUGCCUUUGCAAGCAUCUCCUAGUGACGGUGGUUUUUUAAAGUUUUU